rnacentral:lncRNA from 1 species
GGGCAGAAGAGUGUCUGUUUCAAGUGUGCCUGAUCUCACCCUGUUUUCUGUUCUGCUCUGUGUUUCCCAGAAACUGCGUAUACCAACCUCUCACCUGGAGCCUGUUUAUGCCCCCAAGGCUGAUAAGUGGAAAGUCAGUAAUGGGAUUCCUCUUCCCCCCAUUAAAGUGCCCCCCAACCGGCCCCACGUGCAGGAAAUGGACCACCAGCAGCAAGGACCUGCUGAAGGAGAAGACGUUGCUGCAAAUGAUGCUGAUCUGCAAGCAGACUUGCAGGUGCAAUGUUCCCCAACGUCACAAACCAUUAAGGCUAUAAAAUCACUGGUGCCAAAGGUAAGGGUGGAUUCAGCCCAGUUCCACCAAAACUCCAGAGCCACUCCAAAACUUUGGGGCUCACUG